GAUGAACGCUGGCGGCGUGCUUAACACAUGCAAGUCGAACGGUGAACACGGAGCUUGCUCUGUGGGAUCAGUGGCGAACGGGUGAGUAACACGUGAGCAACCUGCCCCUGACUCUGGGAUAAGCGCUGGAAACGGCGUCUAAUACUGGAUAUGUGACGUGACCGCAUGGUCUGCGUUUGGAAAGAUUUUUCGGUUGGGGAUGGGCUCGCGGCCUAUCAGCUUGUUGGUGAGGUAAUGGCUCACCAAGGCGUCGACGGGUAGCCGGCCUGAGAGGGUGACCGGCCACACUGGGAUUGGGACACGGCCCAGACUCCUACGGGAGGCAGCAGUGGGGAAUAUUGCACAAUGGGCGAAAGCCGGAGGCAGCAACGCCGCGUGAGGGAUGACGGCCUUCGGGUUGUAAACCUUUUUUAGCAGGGAAGAAGCGAAAGUGACGGUACCUGCAGAAAAAGCGCCGGCUAACUACGU
rnacentral:rRNA from 1 species